rnacentral:rRNA from 1 species
UCUGGUUGAUCCUGCCAGUAGUCAUAUGCUUGUCUCAAAGAUUAAGCCAUGCAUGUCUAAGUAUAAGUUCUGUACUGCGAAACUGUGAAUGGCUCAUUAUAACAGUUAUUAUUCCCUGGCCGGUCAGUGAUUCCUUGGAUACCCAUGGUAAUUCUAGAGCUAAUACAUGCUUAAAAACCCGACUUCUUGAAGGGUUGCGCUUAUUAGAUACCGAACCAACCCAGGCUCUGCCUGGUUUUCGUUGAUUCAUAGUGUUCUGGCGAAUCGACUCGCAAGAGUCGAUGAGGCUAUCAAGUUUCUGACCUAUCAGCUUCCGACGGUAGGAUAUUGGCCUACCGUGGCUUUGACGGGUAACGGAGAAUUAGGGUUCGAUUCCGGAGAGGGAGCCUGAGAAACGGCUACCACAUCUAAGGAAGGCAGCGGGUGCGUAAAUUACCCAAUCCUGACACAGGGAGGUAGUGACAAGAAAUAUCAAUAUAAGACUUUCUGUCUUGUAAUUGGGAUGAGCGAAACAUAAACCGCUUCUCGAGUAUCAAUUGGAGGGCAAGUCUGGU